CAAUAGCGUAUAUUAAAGUUGUUGCAGUUAAAAAGCUCGUAGUUGAAUUUCGGGUCCCCGCGCUCGGCGCUUCAUUGUGCCGUCGUGGUGUCCCUCCUCGCCGUAAGGCGUCCUUUACUGUGAAAAAAUUAGAGUGUUCAAAGCAGGCAAUCGCUUGAAUACAUUAGCAUGGAAUAAUAAGAUAGGAUCUUGUCUAUUUUGUUGGUUGCGGACAACGAUAAUGAUUAAUAGGGAUAGUUGGGGGUGUCCGUAUUGAGCUGUCAGAGGUGAAAUUCUUGGAUUUGCUCAAGACGGACUACUGCGAAAGCAUUCACCAAGGAUGUUUUCAUUAA
rnacentral:rRNA from 1 species